AUGCAACGCGAAAAACCUUACCCACCUUUGACAUGUACGGAAUCCUUUAGAGAUAGAGGAGUGCUCGAAAGAGAGCCGUAACACAGGUGCUGCAUGGCUGUCGUCAGCUCGUGUCGUGAGAUGUUGGGUUAAGUCCCGCAACGAGCGCAACCCUUGUCAUUAGUUGCUACAUUCAGUUGGGCACUCUAAUGAGACUGCCGGUGACAAACCGGAGGAAGGUGGGGAUGACGUCAAGUCCUCAUGGCCCUUAUAGGUGGGGCUACACACGUCAUACAAUGGAUGGUACAAAGGGUCGCCAACCCGCGAGGGGGAGCCAAUCCCAUAAAGCCAUUCGUAGUCCGGAUCGCAGUCUGCAACUCGACUGC
rnacentral:rRNA from 1 species